AGUGUGAGGCUUCUCCAUUGCACCAUGGAUGUGUUGGCCCCUGUGAUUUCCCCAAAGGUGGGAAACUCG
rnacentral:snRNA from 1 species